CAAGAGAGAGAGACUGGAGAAGGAGGGAGGGGAAAGAGAGAGGGUAGGGGGAGAGAGGAGAGAGGGAGGAGAGGAGAGGAGAAAAAAAAAAAAGAGAGAGACAGAGAGACUGAGAACCAGGACUCACACCCAGGGCUGCACCUUUAACUCAUCUCCCUUCACCCCAAGCCUAGCUCAUAGUAGUGAUUUUUAUUCUGAAGAGGGAAAUCAACUAACAAACAGGAUGAGUGAGGACAAUAUCCAGAUAUUAGCUCCUCCUCAUCAGCCACAGAAGUUUGUGUCUACUCUCUAGCUCCACCUACUGGACCUUGUGUAAAUCACCUGAAUAAAUGCACAAGCGCUCACUGCAAGACCCCAUGCUAUACAAGGCACUGAGGGAAAGGAAGCAACAUUAUUCUUUCAGGGACUGCUAGGAUUAAAAGAAACUUUUAAGGCGAAUCUCCUCUUUUACUGAAGAGAAAACUAAGUGCUAGAUGCAUUGGGCAUUUGCUGCAUGUGGAGUCAAAUUGGCCAGAGUUUGAACCAUGGUCCUGCCACUUCCUGAUAAUGGCACCUCAGGUAUCUGGGCUGCUGACCCAAUAAAAUGGAGCCCCUGUGACCUGCUUUCAGGGCUUUCACAACUGGUCCCGCAUGACGACCCUGCCUGACAACCCCAACUUGGCUUCAGCCUUCCUCUUGCUGGAUGACUUCAGCAAGUCAGACACUCUCCAUGCAUGUGCCUUCUCGUUUAUAAAACAAAGACAGGAUUAUUGUGAGAAUCAAAUAAAAUAAUGGAUAUAAGCA
rnacentral:lncRNA from 10 species